GGCGCUUGCGCGCCCGUGUCGUCCCUAUUCGGUCUUGCUCCCGGUGGGGUUUGCCGUGCCGUCCAUGUCGCCAUGUCCGCGGUGGGCUCUUACCCCACCCUUUCACCCUUACUCCGCAAGCGGAGCGGUCUGCUUUCUGUGGCACUUUCCCUGGGGUCGCCCCCGCCGGACGUUAUCCGGCACCGUGUUUCCGUGGAGCCCGGACUUUCCUCGCCCCGCGGCCUUUCGGCACUUGCGAGGCGCGGCUGCCCGG
rnacentral:sRNA from 1 species